CGCCGCACUCCUCUCCAUCCUCUCCAUCCUCUCCACACGGCAGCAGCAGCAGCAGCAGCAGCAGCAGCAGCGGAGCCGGACUCACAGCAGCCAGGUGUGACGAUGAGGAGGACACAGCGCGCACGGUGCCGACCUGACCUGCGAGAUAUCAACAGGUCGAUGCAGAGUUCUUUAGCGAGAGGCAAAGCGCUUCCUCGUCCACCUGCACACUGUGAGUAACUGUCAGCAUGUCGGCCAUCUGCCGCCUCGUUUUUCUCUACGCACAGCAUUGUGUUGUUUCUCUGAUUCGGCCUACGUGUUUGUGUUGCUGUUCAUUUCUUUUCUGAAUGUUGGACCGUUUUUUGCACGUUUCUCCAUGUGUGAAGUCUGUUACGAGUCUGCAUGCAGGUGUGAAGCUGGGCAUGCUCUGAGGUGAUGUGCUGCCUCGUUAUGUGUACGACUUUAUUGUAUUUGCGUGAUUUUGUGUUGUUUGUAUGUUGUUUCUCACAGUGCAUUUGCUUGUUUAUUUACUGUGUGUGUGUGGCUGUAGGCGUGUGCAGCGUACUUCCUCAAGCAUGAUUUGUGUUUUCUAAGUUUGCGUGUGCGUCCUUGUGUGUCUCCGUAUGUAUGUGUGUUUAUAAUCCAAGGCCAUUCAAUAGCACCACAUGGAUCCAUCCCAUAUCCUGGUCACCAUGGUUACCGGGGCCACUUAUCACAGAGGGUCCCGGCAGAUCAAACAGGUGUGCAUCCUGACGAUGUCUCUCCUCGACGACUGUUGCUAGGAACCUUUGUUGCACACAACGCACAGGUGCUUGUCGCCGCCAGUGAAAACCAGCA